rnacentral:rRNA from 1 species
AGAGUUUGAUCAUGGCUCAGGAUGAACGCUGGCGGGCGUGCUUAAUACAUGCAAGUCGGAACGAAGGAUUAGCAAUAGUCUUGAGUGGCGAACGGGUGAGUAACGCGUUGGUGGAUCUGUCCCGAAGAGGGGGAUAACAGUUCGAAAGGACUGCUAAUACCCCAUGUGGUUAUCGAUGUUAGAGGCUUGGUAACUGAAGGAGUAAUCCGCUUCGGGAGGAGCCUGCGUCCCAUCAGCUAGUUGGUAGGGUAAAGGCCUACCAAGGCAGAGACGGGUAGGGGGCCUGAGAGGGUGACCCCUCACACUGGCACUGAAACACGGGCCAGACACCUACGGGUGGCAGCAGUAGGGAAUAUUGCACAAUGGGCGCAAGCCUGAUGCAGCAACGCCGCGUGCGCGAUGAAGGCCUUCGGGUCGUAAAGCGCUUUUCGGGGAGAUGAGGAAGGACAGUAUCCCCGGAAUAAGGCUCGGCUAACUACGUGCCAGCAGCCGCGGUAAAACGUAGGAGCCAAGCGUUAUCCGAAUUCACUGGGCGUAAAGCGUGUGCAGGCGGUCCUAUAAGUUGGAUGUGAAAUCUCCUGGCUCAACUGGGAGAGGCCGUACAAUACUGUGGGACUAGAGGGCAACAGAGGGAGGUGGAAUUCCCGGUGUAGUGGUGAAAUGCGUAGAUAUCGGGAGGAACACCAGUGGCGAAAGCGGCCUCCUGGGUUGCACCUGACGCUCAGACACGAAAGCUAGGGGAGCGAACGGGAUUAGAAACCCCGGUAGUCCUAGCCGUAAACGAUGUAGACUGGGUGUUGGCGGGGUAAAAGCCGUCGGUGCCGAAGCAAACGCGAUAAGUCUACCGCCUGGGGACUACGGCCGCAAGGUUAAAACUCAAAUGAAUUGACGG